UACGUAGGGGGCGAGCGUUGUCCGAAUUUACUGGGCGUAAAGAGCGCGUAGGCGGGCUCUUAAGUGAGAGGUGAAAUUUUUCGGGCUCAACCCGAAGCGUGCCUUUCAUACUGGGAGCCUUUGAGUGUGGGAGAGGCGAGUGGAAUUUCUGGUGUAGCGGUGAAAUGCGUAGAGAUUGGGAAGAACACCAGUGGCGAAGGCGGCUAUCUGGACGGUUUCUGGACGCUAAGACGCGAAAGCGUGGGGAGCAAACAGG
rnacentral:rRNA from 1 species